CAGCACUCUUAAAAUGGUGGUUUACAUUGCUCCUCCUGGCCUCAUUGUGCUUUUACUUGCUUUGGUUAUUGCAUAUAAAUGCAAAUGGAAAGGAACCGAAAUCAAGAAUGACAAAGGGAGAACGCUUGAAGCUCUGGAGAUGAUUUCCGUAAAGCCAGAAGAGCCCGUUUACAAGAACAUUCAUGAUGAGGCACCACUGGACAGCCAGGAUAAUGUUUAUGAAAACAUUCCAACAAUAAAAGACAUCUUCUCUGUGUAUAUGUAGUACAG